rnacentral:rRNA from 1 species
CAGUUCGGAUUGUAGUCUGCAACCCGACUACAUGAAGCUGGAAUCGCUAGUAAUCGCGGAUCAGAAUGCCGCGGUGAAUACGUUCCCGGGUCUUGUACACACCGCCCGUCACACCAUGGGAGUCGGAAAUGCCCGAAGUCUGUGACCCAACCGGAAGGAAGGAGCAGCCGAAGGCAGGUCUGAUGACUGGGGUGAAGUCGUAACAAGGUACC